UCUCAUCAUCUUCAAACCGUCUUCUAAUCCCAUAUCUCUAUGCGGGGGAUGUGGGAUAUUUUGGGCAGGUAUCGUCCUUUACUUCCAGGCUGGCAUUUAUCUUUUAGCAGAGGACACCUAAUGAUUUUAAGUUCCCUCAGUGAAAUAGGCAACCCCUCCACUGGAAUAGAUGCCAGCUUUGGAAAAUCACAGAGUUGAAGAGAUUGAAGAGAGGUGAGGAAUUGAAAGCCCUUGCUGCUCAGUUUCUUCAGAUUUGGGAAGCCCACAAUGGAGAGAUUAGUGAGAGAUUCGGGGAGCAGCAUCUCCCUGUAACUGUCGGGUGGAAAUGACACCACACUUGGGUCUUCGCCACCGACCCACAACUUCGUAAGAGAGGUGAGCCUGUGCAACAACUCCCACAGCGGCUUACAAUUCUUGAUUCUGCGGAUUGUAAGUGAUGUUAGGUUGGGGGGAAAGGAAGUGAAAUUUAAACCUUCACCGUAAUCAAUAUUCAAUUCCUGAAGACAGUUGAGAUUGCACAUGUCCGGUAACAUCUCCAAUUUGUUGCAAUUUUCGAUGUAGAUUUCUUUCAGGCUGGAGGCCGCUGUUGUUGUUGGCGAAGGCAAACCCUCACCACUCAGGCUCGGGAUGGAAACCAGACUCCCACAACGAUAAAUCUCUAAAGUUUGAAGGUUGGUGAGGUAGCAUAGGCCCUCCGGUAACGAUUUGAAAUUUCGGCAACUCCAGAUCGUAAUAUAUUCAAGACAAUAAUUAGUGUUGUCGUGGGAGAACCCAUCGGAUGUUAUUAACUGCAGCUCUCCACAAUCGUAUAUGUGAAGGCUUUUAAGCGCCUUGGGAAACAACUGGGCUCUCAAUGAUAACGACUUUAGAGAUUCACAUGUCCAUAUUUCCAAGUGCUCAAGAGAAAUAUGAGAAGAAGAGGAAGACGAAGAACUAUCCUCCUCUUUCUCUACUAAUGAUUUCAAACUUUUACACCGCUGUAUCUCUAUUCUUCUUAGAUUUGGGGGAAUCUGGCAUUUUGCAAAAUACAGCAACGAAUCACACUCCCAAAUCCUUAUGACUUCAAGGGAAGGAGGCAGACCAACAUCUGGAAAAGAAACCAGACUUGAGCAUCCAAUUAUUUGAAGGUCUUGAAGAGCCGUUAGGUGAUGCAACCCUUCUGGUACCUUCGAAAGACUUGCACACUUGUAUAAUUCUAGAUAUUUAAGCUUGGAAGUCAAUAUUUGCAAUUGCAGCAACUCCUCUGCUUCUUUUCCCAGCUUUUCAAGGAGGGAAGAGUUGCCUGAAAUAACCAAACGAUCAAGAGAAAUCAAGUGUUGCAAUACUCUAUCCUCAUUCUUCAGUGAAGAUGUCAGCUCCUCACAUCCGCCAAUCCUCAAAUAUGCAACCUUCCUUAAUCCUUUGGCGAAUUCCCCUGUUUGGAACCUCACCUCUGAAAUAUUUGAAAGCCCCAGGGAAUUUAAUAACUCAAACUCAACGCCACUUGUCUCCACCACCGCUUUGCAGCCAUCUAUCCAUAAUCGACCAAUUUGUUUAUAGUUGGAAAUUGAAAUCACCAAUUCCUCGCAUUUAAUAAUUUUAAGUGUUUCUAAUGAAUCAAAGUUCUCGGGCACCUUACCCUCCAAUUGAGGACAAUUUGUGAUUGAGAGCAAUUUCAAGCAAGGGAAAACACCAAUUCCCCGAUCCCCCACAAAAGGAAGCCAUUUCUUCCAGUUGUGCAUAUCUGAAAACUCAAGAGUCUCCAGUACUGGAAAAGGCAAGCUACUCUCUCCAUAAAACUCAGGACCGACACUUUUCACUGCCGCCAUUCCUGUAAUAUAAAGUUCUUUGAGCAAAGGCAGUUGCCCAAGUGGUGGCAAGAUUUGACAAUUUUUACAUUUGUCUAAGCGUACAUGCACCAUAGUGGAGAAUAAACGAUCUCCAAUCCAUGUUGAAAAUUCUAAUCCAGCAUAACCCCUGAUGAUGAGUUUUUCAAGCUUUCUAUGAGGUUCUAAUCUGUCAAGCACGCCUAAUUGCGUUUCUUGUGUGUUAUCCGUCCAUUCUAGCACCAAUUCAUCUACUCUCUCCUUGGAUUUUAAGCCGGCCUUCCGUGCAUCCUCAGCAUCGAUCACAUUCUCCAACCUUGAGAGCGAUAAUGUCCUUCGGAGAUGGGACAGGGAUCCUAUCUCUCUUAUCCCUGAUUCAUCACUACCUUUACCCACCACAAAUUUAGGCAAAGAUUGUAGAUUUGUCAACCGACCUAGUUGCGGAGGCAUUGCUUUCAGUGAAUAUACAUCUGAGUUAUUGAGAUGACGCAGAUUCACUAGAUUCCUCAAGUUUAUGGGUAGUGCCUUCAAAUAACGACAACCUUUCAAUAUCAGUGUCUGUAAGUUGAAAAGAGUGGUUGUUGAUUCAGGCAAACUUGUUAUGUGUGUGUAAGAAAGAUCAAGAUGCCGCAGAUACUUCAAUUUACCAAUUGAAUUUGGCAGCUCAGUCACUUGAUAGCCAUUGAGAGAAAGCACCCGCAAGUAUUGCAAUUUUGGCAAUAAAUCAAAAGUAACCUUACGACUCAGAAACCUCGAUUCAUAAUACUCUGAAAUUGAAAGUGGUAGAAAAGUUCGGAAAUGUUUCACUUCAGAAAAUGCCUCAAAUCUUUUAACCACAUCAUAGCAACCAGAAAUGUAGGACGCAUGGCGGGCCUUCGUAAAACAUCCAAGUUGUACAUGAUCGCUAUUCUGCUUAUCCUCCAAUCUAAAACAAAUAUCUCCUGCUGCCCACUGUGCCAAACCAACAAUGAGGUCAUGCAUUACAUACUUUGAAUUGUUUUUGCUUGAUUUCUGAAAUAAUGACCUCGAUAAGAGAUCCUGAAAAUAGUCAGUUCCUAAAUCUUCCAUUUGCUUAUUAUGUUCUGGUUGUGGUUGAAUCAAACCCUCUGCCAUCCACAGAAGAAUCAAUUGCUGCUCACAAAAUUCAUAGUCAUUUGGAAAUAUCGAACAAUAGGCAAAGCAUCUUUUCAAAUGUGAAGGAAGAUAGUGAUAGCUUAGUCUUAAUACCGGAAGUAUGUCACACUCAUUUGAUAGACUCCAUAAUUUGUUGUUCAAUAUUUCCUCCCAUUCAUUCAUCUUUUUACUAAGUAAAAGGCCGCCAAGAGUCCUAGCAGCCAAAGGCAAUCCACUGCAUCUUGCAACAAUUUUCUCCUUGAGUGACUCGAAAUUUGGUGGUAUAUCUCUGUUAACAUUCCUGAAUGCAUGCUGCUCAAAUACUUCAAAACAAACGUCAUUUGACAUAGGCUCCAAAUUGUGAACUAGAGUGCCAGCUCCCAUCAUUUUCGAAACUUCUGCAUCACGCGUUGUCACAAUUAUCUUGCUUCCUGCUGCUCCAUCGCGAAAGGGGGACUGCAGUUUCAUCCAUAGACCAUAGCUACAGGUGCCCCAAACAUCAUCUAAAACAAUUAAAAACUUCUUCCCUGCCAAUUCCUUAUGCAGAUGUUGUUGAACCUGAUUGAAAUCUUCUGUAGGACACUGUCCGGAUGUGACUGCUCCGAGAAUCUGCUUUGUCACUCUUUCUAGGUUGAAGUCAUCAGACACGCAUACCCAAGCAGUUGGUUUAAAUUGCUCGGUUGCAUCAAUUUCAUUGAACACUUGUGCAGCAAGUGUUGUCUUUCCGACUCCAGCCAUACCAACAAUGGCAACUACAUCGAAAUUGACGGCAUUGCGCUCUUGUUUCGACAGAAAUUCCACGACCUGCCUUUUGUCUUCCUCCCUUCCAAUCACAGGUCCAUCUGGUUGACAUGUACUGGGAGGUAAAUUUUGACGUGCCUUACUGGACGACGUCGUCCCAGUAAUGAUAUUCAAACUAAGCUGGUCUUUUCGCUGAGAUAUCCCUUGUAAACGCUCAGUAAUCUUCUGUAUUUCUGAGUUCAUUUUGUAGUUGAAAACACCAUUAGGAACUGAGUUCCAGACCCUUCUUGCGGUAUAAUGCUCUACCUCCCGUUUGAGCAUUUUAGUAGCAUAUUUGUCCAAUACGUCUUCCAAGUCAUAAGCUAAGUCCCUGAGAUCAUCCAGCCAAAGCUUCAGCGGCUUGCUCUCGGUGAUUAGUUGCCUCUCCUCCGCCUCAUUCAGAACCGCUCCAAUUGCAGACAAGGUGGCAGUCCAUUUCUGCAGCUUUUGGUCGACGCCCUUUAUGAGUCCAAAGUACUUGAACACCUCACGACGCGCCAACUUGUCGACCAGCACUUGAAGGAAUGCCACAAGAUAAGCCUCUCCCAUAGUUUCUGGAGAAAAGCGAGCAAUCAAAGAAAAUGUAAGGAGUUGUUUCUUGAAGCAGCUUGAUUAGAAAUGCAUAAACUGAAACAAGCUAAAUUAGAAAUGCAAUAAAGAAAAGGAAUUUUGAGCAGACAAAAUAAAAUACAAGAAACUAAAAAAAAACAAAAAACAAAAGGCACCAAACAGAAUAAAUCAGAAGUACCUGUAGUUUAAGUAUAUGAUAUUUAUCAGCAGCAGAUUUCUUCACGAAUUACCGAAGGUGUCGCAAUGAACAAGAAGGAAAAUCCAAAGGCAAUACACAGUUACACACUUAUAGAACCAAAGAGAUCAAGAGAGCCAGAACCAAGACAUAAUAAAUAUGAAGAUGGAUGAAACUAAUUAUGGGUUUGAGAAUUUUGAGUUGACGGAAAAGACUCCGAAACAAAGACUGUAGAUAAGGAAAACGCAAUGCAAAUUCCCCAGCCUUUACAUAGAAAAAGUAGAAUGCUUAUUUACUUUGUUUUGGUCAAAAUGAAAAGUAGAAGCUGAUAAUUGAGUUUUGAAUCAUUGGAGUGUCUAGUCUAUUCUAAUGGCCCAGCUCCAGCUCAUGCCGCGUCCUUCUGUCUCAUUACGUUUGAUUCUGACAUGGUUUAUUUUUAAAAUCACUCACAUCACACUUGCUUUUGUCCAGCCACAUAUUAUGAUUAAUUUCACCAAUAAAUUUUGAUGAGGUUGGUCACAUAUUGGUUCUCCCUCACUCUCAUUUCAUGGAAGUUCAAACGGGCUCUAAGAUAAAUACGUCAAUGGCUAUAAAUUCACAUAUUUUUUUUCGCAUUUCCUUUUUGGUUAAAUCUUGACACAUAUGGACUGUAACAGUCUAAAUGACCAAUCCAACUCUUAGAAUGUCAUCUAAAUACCUAGAUUUGUAAUCAGCCAUAUAUAUCCUCACACUACAAGAUCGCUGGAAGGUACUUAUAAUGUAUCCUGCUGUGAGAUUAUAUUGUAUAAACCUGUCAACUCAACUGAAUAUAGAAUCCUCUAGGCAACAAAAAGUCUAAUAAGACCUAAAAACAAUGGGGUGACAUGUCAACACCAAAAGAAUAUAAAAAGUUCAGAGUGGAAAGAAAUAAAAAGAAAACAAACGAUGAAGAUGUCAGCGCAACCAAAUUGGUAUAUACAAUUUAGUGCCUAACCGACUGAGGAUUGAGGUAAAAAAAAUAAAAAAUAAAAACAAAGUCCCCAAGACUUUUCAUCCUGCCGACACCAAAGUUACAGAAAUUACUGUGUUUGAUUUUUGGAUUCCUUUAACUGCUGCCACCAGCACGUUACAUAGAAAAAGUAGAAAGCUUUUUUUUUUUUUUUUUUUUCCGGUCAAAAAGAAAAGUAGAAUCUGAUAAUUGAGUUUUGAAUAGUUUGUCUAGUCUAAUGGCCCAGCUCAUGCUGCGUUCUUCCUGUAAGUGAGCAACAAAUUUGGACUGAAGAAGGAGAACAGCUCCAGCACUGCAUUCUUCCUGUAAGUGAGUUUUCAAUCAAGUCUAGUGUUAGUCUAAUGGCCCAGCUCCAGCACUGCUUCUGUUUGACUCUGUUUUCAACUCACUCACAUCACACUUGCUUUUGUCCAACCCCGUUAUGAAUUCACCAAUAAAAUUUAGUGCCGAAUAUAUGAACCCUUUCUUUGGACGACAACGACCAUGAAAUUGCAGAAGACCAUAAAAUUAUUUCGUUCAGGGCGCCACUGGCUCCAUAACCAAUUCAGGUACAAGGUCCUUCUUAAGCCUUCUCUUCAACGCAAAAUGAACAUGUGCUACCAAUUCACCUUUUUCCGACCAAAAAACCAAGAAGAAAAAUACACGAGUAAAUCAAACUUUUUUUUUUUUUUUAAUACUUAUUUUAUUUAUACAUAAUUUCUAACUAUUGUGCAAGUUCAAUGUUCAAGCAACCGUAACAUGAUGGACUUGUGCAAUUUUGGUUCAUCGAAGUAAUUGAGAACUCUGAUUUUGUUGAAUGUCCAAACACUCUUGAAUAAUGAAAUUGUACACAAAGAAUUACACACUCUCUUCGAUAUUGAAGUUAGAUAAAUACUUUAAAAUGUAGGUUUUGAGUUAAUUUUGUUUUUUUAUUUAUUAUAUAGUUUUCCUUAAAAUAUAUGUUAUUUUAAGUAAUUAAGAAAAAUUAAAAACUAAAAUGUAAUAUUUUUCUUCUUCUUAAUAAUAAAGCAAGACUUCGUUUCAAACUAAAAUAUAUACAUUUAUAUAUUAUUUAUAAUUCUGGUUUGCUUUUAUAUAUAGUUCUGGUUUGCUUCUAGCUCAAAGAUAAAAACCUAAAAAGAUUCCUUUAACUGCUGCCACCAGCACGUUACAUGGUAAAGUAGAAGCUGAUAAUUGAGUUCUGAAUCAUUGGAGUGUCUAGUCUAUUCUAAUGGCCCAGCUCCAGCUCAUGCUACGUCCUUUCUGUCUGAUUAUGUUUGAUCCUGACAUGAUGUUUUUUACUCUCCCUCACAUCACACUUACGCUUGUCCAGCCACAUAUAAUUAUGAUUAAUUUCACUAAUAAGCAAGGCUAAACUAAUCAUAGCAGACCAUUUCAUUAAAUUUAAGUGAAUUUAUUAUUCAGAUAAAUCACGUGACUAAUAUAAAAAUUCACAUAUGUGGUCUAUAUAUAGUACCACCACCGUAAAACAACUUUUUAUUUACAUAUUCGGAAUUAAAUAAGGAAAAUAACAUCCUACUUAUUUUUAAAAUAUAAAUUAAACAAUAAAUUAAUAUAAAUUUGGCAAAGAAUCCUAUGUGCUUCAAACUUAAUCAAACAACUCAAAAAUCUCACCGAUACAUCCCUCAAAUAGGAUUUAGGAUUAUGAAUAAUUCAGUAUAUUUCUAUUCUUCUCAUAAGGAGAUAUUUAUAGUGAUACAAAUACAAGCCAAUCUAGAAAGUACUUAAAAUAAGAAAUAAAAGAAAUAAAUACAAUCCCAGUCAAACCGGUAUACCUAUAAUUACAAAUCAAUUAUAAUAAAGGUAAUUGUCAAUAAUUCCUAUUGUGAUUCAGCGAUUCACACUGGAAAUAUCCAUUUUCUCACCAUAAUUGACCCAGAUCUCGUCCUACAUCACAGAGAAUUUGAAAAAACAUUGAAGUCAAGCAAACAAAAGAAAGAAAAAUAUGGCUAAAAGUUUUCUCAGCAGAGAGAUGACAAAAUAAUAUUACAAGGCAAACCAAGUGAGUAAUGAAGUACUUUCUUUUCCUAUAUAUUUUUCAAAUGUUCUGCCUUCAAAUUCUGAUCGCAUGUUUGCAAGUGCCUAUUAAAAGGAAGAGCCUUUUAAGUCUUCCCAUUUCCUGAAUUUAAAAUAUAUCAUAAAGAGAAAUAAAGAUGGAUUUACCAUUUGUUCGAUAAAUCGUUGUCGUCCAGCAUGGGGGAGUCCCGCUUGAAGCAAUUGUAGAUGAAAAAGAACCACCUGGGAAACAUAAUAAGACACUUUAUUAUUUCACGGUUACCAUUAAAGGUUGAUAGUGUUUGAAAUUUGAAGUACCUGGGGAGAGUUGGAUAUAUCUCUAGGUAAGGAAUGUGGGAUAUUUUGUGCCAGUAUGGUCCAAAGACACAAGAUCUUUGCGACUCAGUUAUGACCCAAAAUAUCUUUGGACACCCAGAGAUCCAAAAUUGUGAAAGUGAAAGAGUCGGGGCCACUGGAAUAGAUGCCAGCUUUGGACAAUUCCAGAGUUGAAGACAUUGAAGAGAGGUGAGGAAUUGAAAGCCCUUGCUGCUCAGUUUCUUCAAAUUUGGGAAGCACCCAAUUGUGAGAUGAGUGAGAGAUUCGGGGAGCAGCAUCUCCAUAUCCAUAUCUGUGUCUCCUUCGGGUGGAAACGACACCACAUAUGGGUCUUCGCCAUCGACCCACAACAUUGUAAGAGAGGUGAGCCUGUGCAACAACUCCCACAUCGGCUUACAAUUCUUAAUUCCGCCGAUUACAAGUGAUGUUAGGUUGGAGGGAAAGGAAGUGAAAUUUAAACCUUCACCGUAAUCAAUAUUCAAUUCCUGAAGACAGUUGAGAUUGCCCAUAUCCGGUAACAUCUCCAAUUUGUUGCAAUUUUUUAUGAUGAUUCGUCUCAGGCUGGAGGCGGCUGUUGUUGUUGGCGAAAGCAAACCCUCACCACUCAGGCUCGGGAUGGAAACCAGACUCCCACAAUCAUAAAUCUGUAAAGUUUGAAGAUUGGUGAGGUGGCAUAGGCCCUCCGGUAUGGAUUUCAGAUUUUGGCAAAAACUGAUGCUAAUAUAUUCAAGACAAUAAUUAGUGUUGUCGUGGGAGAACCCAUCGAACGUUAUUAACUGCAGCUCUCCACAAUGGGAUAUGUGAAGGCUUUUAAGCGCCUUGGGAAACAACUGGGCUCUCAAUGAUAACGACGUUAGAGAUUCACAUUCCCGUAUAUCCAAGUAUCGAAGAGAAAUAUGAGAAGAAGUGGAAGACGAAGAACCCACCUCCUCCUCUACAAAUGACUUCAAACUUUUACACCGCAUUAUCUUUAUUCUUCUUAGAUUUGGGGGAAUCUGGUAUUUUGCAAAAUACAGCAACGAAUCACACUCCUCAAUCCUUAUGACUUCAACGGAAGGAGGAAAACCAACAUCUGGAAAAGAAACCAGACUUGAGCAUCCAAUUAUUUGAAGGUCUUGAAGAGCCGUUAAGUGGUGCAACCCUUCUGGUACCUUCGAAAGACUUGCACAAUAGUUUAAUUGUAGAUAUUUAAGCUUGCAAGUCAAUAUUUGCAAUUGCAGCAAUUCCUCUGCUUCUUUUCCCAGCUUUUCAAGGAGGGAAGAGUUGCCUGAAAUAACCAAACGAUGAAGAGAAAUCAAGUGUUGCAAUACUCUAUCCUCAUUCUCCAGUGAAGAUGUCAGCUCCUCACAUCCGCCAAUCGUCAAUUUUACAACCUUCCUUAAUCCUUUGGUGAAUUCCCCUGUUUGGAACCUCACCUCUUUAAUAUUUGAAAGUUGCAAGGACUUUAAUAACUCAAACUCAACCCCACUUGUCUUCAGCACCGCUUUGCAGCCAUCUAUCCAUAAUCGACCAAUUUGUUUAUAGUUGGAAAUUGAAAUCACCAAUUCCUCGCAUUUAAUAAUUGUAAGUCUUGCUAAAGAAUCAAGGUUCUCUGGCACCUUACCCUCCAAUUGAGGACAAUUUCUGAUUGAAAGAAACUUCAAGCAAGGGAAAACAUCAAUUCCCCGAUCCCCCACAAAAGGAACCCAUUUCUUCCAGUGUUGCAUAUCCUCAAACUCAAGAGUCUCCAGUACUGGAAAAGGCAAGCUACCCUCCCCAUAAAACUCAGGACCGACACUUCUCACUGCAGCCAUUCCUGUAAUAUAAAGUUCUUUGAGCAAAGGCAGUUGCCCAAGGGGUGGCAAGAUUUGACAAUUUUUACAUUUGUCUAAGCGUACAUGCACCAUAGUGGAGAAUAAACGAUCUCCAAUCCAUGUUGAAAAUUCUAAUCCAGCAUAACCCUUGAUGAUGAGUUUUUUAAGCAUUCUAUGAGGUUCUAAUCCGUUAAGCACGCCUAAUUGUGUUUCUUGUGUGGCACUCGACCAUUCUAGCACCAAUUCAUCUACUCUCUCCUUGCAUUUUAAGUCGGCCCUCUGUGCAUCCUCAGCAUCGAUCACAUUCUCUAAUCUUGAGAGCCGUAAUGUCCCUCGGAGAUGGAAUAGGGACCUUAUCUCUCUUAUACCCGAUUGAUCACUACCUUUACCCACAACAAAAUUAGACAAAGAUUGUAGAUUUGUCAACCGACCUAGCUGUGGAGGCAUUGCAUAUUCAAAUGAGUAGUAGAGAUGACGCAGAUUCAAUAGAUUCCUCAAGUUGAUAGGCAGUGCCUCCAAAUAACGACAACCUUCCAAUAUCAAUGUCUGUAAGUUGUAAAGAGUGGUGGUUGAUUCAGGCAAACAUUCUAUCUCUGUGUGAGAGAGAUCAAGAUACCGCAAAUGCUUCAAUUUACCAAUUGAAUUUGGCAGCUCAGUUACUUGAUAGCCAUUGAAAGAAAGCACCCGCAAGUAUUGCAAUUUUGGCAAUAAAUCAAAAGUAACCUUACGGCUUAGAUAAUUUGAAGGAUGAUCAACUGAAAGUGGUAGGAAGGUUCGCAAAUGUUUCAUUUCAGAAAAUGCCUCAAAUCUUUUAACCACGUCAUACUUACCAGAAAUGUAGGAAGCAUGGCGGGCCUUCGUAAAACAUCCAAGUUGUACAUGAUCGCUAUUCUGCUUAUCCUCCAAUCUAACACAAAUAUCUCCUGCUGCCCACUGUGCCAAACCAACAAUGAGGUCAUGCAUUACGUACUUUGAAUUGUUCUUGCUUGAUUUCUGAAAUAAUGACCUCGAUAAGAGCUCCUGAAAAUAGUCAGUUCCUAAAUCUUCCAUUUGCUUAUUAUGUUCUGGUUGUGGUUGAAUCAAACCCUCUGCCAUCCACAGAAGAAUCAAUUGAUGCUCACUAAAUUCAUAGUCAUUUGGAAGUAUCGAACAAUAGGCAAAGCAUCUUUUCAAAUGUGAAGGAAGAUAGUGAUAGCUUAAUCGUAAUACCGGCAGUAUGUCAUGCUCAUUUGAUAGACUCCAUAAUUUGUUGUUCAAUAUUUCCUUCCAUUCAUUCAUCUCUUUACGAAGUAAAAGACCGCCAAGAGUCCUAGCAGCCAGAGGCAAUCCUCUGCAUCUUGAAACAAUUUUCUCCUUGAGUAACUCGAAAUUUGGUGGUAUAUCUCUGUUAACAUUCCUGAAUGCAUGCUGCUCAAAUACUUCAAAACAAACGUCAUUUUUCAUAAGCUCCAAAUUAUGAACUAGAGUGCCAGCUCCCAUCAUUUUCGAAACUUCUGCAUCUCGCGUUGUCACAAUUAUCUUGCUUCCUGCUGCUCCAUCGCGAAAGGGGGACUGCAGUUUCAUCCACAGACCAUAGCUACAUGUGCCCCAAACAUCAUCUAAAACAAUUAAAAACUUCUUUCCAGCUAAUUCCGUAUGCAGAUACUGUUGAACCUGAUUGAAAUCUUCUGUAGGAUAGUGCCGGGAUGUGACUGAUUCGAGAAUUUGCUUUGUCACUCUUUCUAGGUUGAAGUCAUCAGACACGCAUACCCAAGCAGUUGGUUUAAAUUGAUCGGUUGCAACAAUUUCAUUGAACACUUGUGCAGCAAGUGUUGUCUUUCCGACUCCAGCCAUGCCAACAAUGGCAACUACAUCGAAAUUGACGGCACCACGCUCUUGUUUCGACACAAAUUCAACAACCCGCCUUUUGUCUUCGUCCCUUCCAAUCACAGGUCCAUCUGGUUGACUGGAACUGGGAGGUAAAUUUUGACGUGCCGUAGUGGACGACGUCGUCCCAGUAAUGAUAUUCAAACUAAUAAGCUGGUCCUUUUGCUGAGAUAUCUCUUGUAAACGCUGAGUAAUCUUCUGUAUUUCUGAGUUCAUUUUGUAGUUGAAAACACCAUUAGGAACUGAGUUCCAGACCCUUCUUGCGGUAUAAUGCUCUGUCUCCCGUUUGAGCGUUUUAGUAGCAUAUUUGUCCAAUACGUCUUCCACGUCAUAAGCUAAGUCCCUGAGAUCACCCAGCCAAAGCUUCAGCGGCUUGCUCUCGGUGAUUAGUUGCCUCUCCUCCGCCUCAUUCAGAACCGCCCCAAUUGCAGACAAGGUGGCAGUCCAUUUCUGCAGCUUUUGGUCGACGCCUUUUAUGAGUCCGAAGUACUUGAACACCUCCCGACGCGCCAACUUGUCGACCAGCACUUGAAGGAAAGCCACAAGAUAAGCCUCUCCCAUAGUUUCUUGAAUUAGCAGGGAGAAGAAGCACUGAAAGAGUUCUGAACAGAAACAAGCAAUCAAAGAAAACGUAAGGAAGUCUGAGCAAAACAAAUAAAUACAAGAAACUAAAAGAAACAAAGUCUGCCGUACAAACAGAAUAAAUCAGAAGUACCUGCAGUUUAAGUAUAUGAUAUAUAUCAACAGCAGAUUUCUUCACGAAUUACCAAAUACCGAAGGUGUCACAAUGAACAAGAAGGAAAAUUCAAAGGCAAUACACAGUUACACACUUUUAGAACAAAAGAGAUCAAGAGAGCCAGAACCAAGACAUAAUAAAUAUGAAGAUGGAUGAGUGUGGAAGAUGGAUCAAACUUAUGUGGAAGAAAGUAAUUAUGGGUUUGAGAAUUUUGAGUAUGAGAUGUUAUGAUGAGAAGAUAUCUCUUUUGUGUUUUUGUUUUGGGUCAAUGGAAAAGACUCUGAACCAAAGUCUGGGGUUAAAAACACAAAAGAGAAGAAAAUAGCAUUCGUCGUAUGAUAGACAAAGAAAACGCAAUGCAAAUUCCUCAGAGUUACAGAAAUUACUGUGUUUGAUUUUUGGAUUCCUUUAACUGCUGCGACCAGCACGUUACAUCGAAAAAGUAGAAAGCUUUUUUUGUUUUUUUCGGUCAGAAGGAAAGUGGAAGCUGAUAAGUGUGUCUAGUCUAAUUGCCGGGCGUCCUUUGUCUUAUUAUAUUUGAUUCUGACAUGACUCACUCACAUCUUUCACCAUUAAAUUUUGAUGAGGUUCUCCCUCACUCUCAUUACAUUGAUGAGGUGAGCAACAAAUCUGGACUGAAGAAGUAGAACAGAGCUGCAGUCUUCCUAUAAGUGAGUUUUCAAUCAAGUCUAGUGUUAGUCAAAUGGCGCAGCUGCAGCACUGCUUCUGUCUGACUCUGUUUUCAACUCACUCACAUCACACUUGCUUUUGUCCAACCCCGUUAUUAAUUCACCAAUAAAAUUUAUUCUUGUUAUAAACUAAAGAGGAAUUUGAGGAGAGAAUUGAGAGAAAGAGAGAUGAAUCUUUUCUCUCUUCACUGAAUGUUCUAUCUGUUCUGAAUGUGUAUAUUUACAAGGAUGAAGAAGCCUAUUUGAAGGCAUUUGGUUGGGCUCUAUCAUACCGCUAUGAUACAAGAGGAAGCUUCCUAGGGGGGAAGCUUCGCAACUGAUUUACAACACUCCCUCUUGGAGACCACAAAUGAUACAGAAUAUGUCUCGUUAAAAACCUUGCCAGUAAAAAUCCAGUGGGACAAAAACUGGUCAAAGGGAAAAAGAGUACAUAAUGAUGUGUAACAUAAAAUUCUGUGUAUAUUGACGCGCGUGCGACACUGCCUCGUUAAAACCUUGCCAGGAAAAACCCAGUGGGAUAAAAACCCGGACGAAGGAAAAAGAGUACGGUGUUUGAAGAUCUUUAUUGAUGGUGCGCUCCCCCUGAUGCUUGGCAAAAUAUCUUUAAGUCAUACUGUUGAUCAGCUUUCUGAAUAUCGUAGUUGACACUGCUUCUGCGAGUCAAUCUUUGAGCGACACUGCCUCGUUAAAACCUUACCAGGAAAAAUCCAGUGGGAUAAAAACCUGGAUGAAGGAAAAAGAGUACAGUGUAUGAAGGUCUUUAUUAAGACCUUUCUCCCCCUGGUGAAUAUCUCCCCCUGAAAAAUUUAGGACUAGCUUUUGUCCAGUAAGCGACCACUAAAAUUUUCAUAGUAUACCCUAAGACCCCUGAGCGACACUGCCUCGUUAAAACCUUACCAGGAAAAACCCAAUGGGAUAAAAACCUGGAUGAAGGAAAAAGAGUACAGUGUGGAGCUGAGCUCUAUCUGGUCUAGUAUACUUCUGGAAAAACAUUUAAGGACCAACGGAUAAUCCUCAUAAAAAUGCUUCAAUACUUUCUUAGUAUAAGCAAGAAUCUCGUUGGCACAAUGCUCGAUCCUUAAGUCGAGACAAAUAUUUCGUGAAUUUUGCAGAAGCUUUAAUGUGUUGCAAUCACAUGAUAAUCAAUGUACUCACUGAGGUAAUUUAUGCAUAUUAAUAUUGAGUACAAAUUUUGUGCUUCAAGCACAUGUCCUUUAGGGACUUGCUCUAUGCAAUAUCAAUCCUCUCAACGGAUUUUGUCUAAAAAGGAUUAAGCUUUAUGACACAUUAUAUAGCUUUAACCCAUCUAUUUAUACAUCUUUUAGGGAAUCGCUUCUGGCGAUAUGCUCCGUGCAUUUAAUAACCCUUAAAGAUAACAUGUUGGUCUCCGUAAAUGUGCAAUAAAGGGGCACAAUUGAAUCUAUAAAUAUGGAGAAAACCCAACAUUCCUUGUUUCUGCCAGAAACAUUGUGUCAUACAAAGUAGGUAUAUUCCCUUUUAUUCCGAACACCCAAGUAUAACUUUCAGUAUUGACAAAUUUGGGGUUCGUACUGUGGGUUUAUUCUUUCACGUUCAUUCUCAUUUAUAAUGGAAUUACCUCGUUCCAUUUUGGCCAAUGAUAUUGUCGACAUUUAAUAAUUGAACGUGGUUCCAAUCAACACAGCCCAUUGAUGAUUUGAGUAGCUACUCCAAAACCAAAAAUUGUCAUUCAUCAAUUCAUGAUCCCACCAUUCUCGUUUGCAUGCACAUGCAUCAAUUAUAAGCAUUUCUUUGCUUUUGGGUACCCAAGCCACUGCAGAGGGCUUUUAUUAUGUGAGAAUGUGGAUUAUAACCUCCAAUGGAGCGUUAUUUUAUAGUAGGGCGUGGAAAAUCUCCAUUUAGGGAGUUGGAACAUUUAGAACCCAUAUAUCUGUCAUGCUACAGGCAUGCCACAGAUUAAUACAUACAUGUCAAUUAAUUUAUGGGACUUUAACCCAUAUUAUGGGACUUUAACCCAUAUAAUUUGCUACGCAUUAGGCGUGCAUAAUAUCAAUAUUGACAUGUCAAAGGAUUGUCCUUUCGGGACUUCAAUUCACAUCAUUUGCAACAGGCGUGCAUCAUAUUGAUCACUGCUAUACCCAUGUUAUGUUCUUAUGGGACUUUAAUCUGUGCAGUGUAUUAUCAAUGUAUCCAACUUGCAAUCUGUAAAAUUUGCGUUAAUAAUUCAUGGAUACAUACAAGCCAUUCUUUUGGAACGGACUUAUCUCCCCAUUUGGUUACCUUUCAAGAUAAAAUAUCAAAUAGGUAUAUAAGCAUAAAAUAACACAAGUAUUGCUUACAUCCUUAGGUGGGAGAAACUUUUUCUCAAGUAUCAUUCAAGCUCAUAUCAGCCCAGUAAAUAUAAUGUAGCGCUUGAUGAUCUAGUUAUAUCCUGCAAGAGCAAAAAUCACAACUCUUUUGCCUCUGUCAAAACAAAUAACCCUCAUAGUUAGGAUUACUUCAUGGAUUCAUUCUUCAGAUGUUCAUUCUAAAGAAAUAAAAUCUCUUAUGAACAGAGAGUUAUAAAAAGAGAAAAAAUGCAAAAAUAAUGUGAUAUUGAUUGCAAGAGAAGGUAAGCAAUCAGGGAAGGAAGCUGGUGGGAGCAGACAAUAAGCUCUCAUAUCUCCUAGUCUAGAAGAACCUCAGGAGAUUAGAGCAUAAGGCCGCCUUUACAAUUCCCUGAUCUUGCAGAAACAUGAUCAGGGAUAGUCUUGCUUCCUGAAUGGAUGAUCAGAGAUAGUCUUGCUUCUCAGGCAUAUUAAGUGCUUACUGAUAAGAAAAACAAGUAGAUAUCGCAUCACCAGGUAUGGAGUAAACUGGAUGUCUUUUACAAAGAAAAUUUCGUUAGUAACACAUUUAUACACAAAUACAAUGAAUAGGUAGAACCGGUGAAUUUCAAAUUAACCAUAGGAAAAUUGCGAGAUUCUCAGGAUACCUUUGAAAAAGUAGUUCCGUGAAAUCCGUAAAGCAAGAUCGGCGUUGAAAAUAAUACUUGAAAACGCCGAAAGUGCCGACAGGCAUUAUUAGAGGCCACGUGAAGUUUUGGACUCUAGGAAAGAAAAAGAGAAAUAUGGGGAUCCGAGAAGAUAUUGGGAUCCUGAAAAAUAGUAGCCAUAUUUCCUUUUAUAGAUAUUGCCUUUGCAAAACUUGAUUGGAGCAACUGCGUUUCAACUCAACUUCCUUCAGAGGCUUCCAGAACAUAAUGUAUUUUUAUAGAUUUUACAGGGCCUGCACCUUCAUUGCAGGUGGAAAAAAUCUAUCUGUUGUAUGUUCCUGUUAUAAUAAUGGCACAUAUUCUUAAACUUGCACCUGUGGUUUUUACGUCUUUUCAAAAUGACGGUUUGGAACCUUAUGCCUUAUAGGUUCAAAUAACCACAUUGUCUCUCCCAAAUUUCAUAUUUUAUCGCAUGGUAGCCCGGAACUUUUGGCCUGGGCACAAACUCAGAAUUUAUUUGCCCUUUUCAAAUGGACAUGAAAUGUGAAUUGAGUAAAAGCCAUGAUAAUAUCGCAAUAUAAUAGUGAAGAGCAUUAACUACUAUAUACCCACAACUUCAAGUUUAGGAUCUCUCAUAUAUUUGGAUCCAUGGGCUUCCGGCCCAGAUAUAACAAAAUAUGUGGGGAGCCUCAAUUCAUUAUUUGAGGUUUAUAUUGAUAUUAUCCAUUUCGCGGUGUAUUCUUAACAACUGGAAUUCACAAAAUAUAUUUCUUCCUUGAAGUGUCGAUUAUAACAAAAUCGAACUUUAAAUUCAUAAAUUAAAUUGCUUGCUGUAUGGACGUUAAUCCCGCACCAUACCUUAAAUAAAUGUAAAUGUGCGGUAAAGUAAACGUGCUUGUAUGGGCACUAAUUCUGCUCCAUACAUUUAAAUAAAAGCAAAGGCGUGGACGAUAAACCCGCACCACCCUUUUAAAUAAAUACUGUCGUAUGGGUAAUAAUCCUACACCAUACAGUAAAUAAAAUAAAUGUGCGGUAAAGUAAAUUUGCAGUAAAUUAAACGUGCUUGUAUGGGCACUAAUUCUGCUCCAUACAUUUAAAUAAAAGUAAAGGCGUGGACGAUAAACCCGCACCACCCUUUUAAAUAAAUACUGUUGUAUGGGUAAUAAACCUACACCAUACAGUAAAUAAAAUAAAUGUGCGGUAAAGUAAAUUCGCAGUAAAUUAAAUUCAUAAAUUAAAUUGUUAGUAUUAGUAACGGUCUCCCACUGAUAAUAUGUUUAGUAUUACCAAGGGUCCAUUUUUGUUAAUAGUUAGUAAAAGAAAAGCAGAUAAAUAUAAUAGGAAAUAAUAGGAAAGAUAAGGGAGCAGAAAUCUUAUCGUUUAUUCUUUCACUUAUGCCCUUGCUGAGUGAUUCUUUUUUUCUUUUUCUUUUUUUUUUUUCGGUGGGUUUUCACAAGCUUUCCACUAAGCUGAUCACUUUUUUUAGGCAUGCCUGCUAGAGCGGAAAGACAUCAAUUUCAUCAUUGUCUUCCACUGAGGACAGACACCAAGACAGCAAAUUUGAGUGGAACAAGUGCUGUCAAUAUCUUUAAAGAAGAUAUGGGAUACAUCCAUUCAGCACAGUCGCACCAAACCAGAGGCAUAAGCUCAGUGGUCUCAUCAGUGGCAUAACCAAACAUGUGACCCUGGUCUCCAGCACCAAUUUCCUCAGGCCUCUUGGUGAGGUGGCCAUGGACACCCUGAGCGAUAUCAGGGCUCUGAUGCUCAAUGUUAACCAAGACCUUGCAGUUGUCAGCAUCAAGGCCAACAUGAUCUGGAACAAAUCCAAUCGUACGGCAGGUGUCACGUACAAUUUUCUCAUAGUCCACUUUGGCUUUGGUUGUAAUCUCUCCAAAGACCAUGACCAUGUUGGUCUUGGUGCAAGUCUCACAGGCAACUUUGCUGUCGGGAUCUUGCUCAAGGCAGGCAUCAAGAACUGCAUCAGAAAUCUGAUCACAGAGUUUAUCAGGGUGUCCCUCAUUCACAGACUCAGAAGUAAACAGGAAAGUGUCCAAAUAGCUCUCGAUUUCCAUAGCUAUCCCAUGCAUAUGCAGAGGUAUCAAAGCCGGCGGCUCACACAUGCCGUGAACGUACGGCUGGUAGCUCGGAAUGUCCGGAUUAUCCACGACUGAGGGGUCGGGUACGACCGCGUAUACCAUCGGAUCCUCCGGCAAGUACGACUCCGAUGACCUGGUCAUCGCCGACGGGUCUGGAACCGACUCUUUGCCGUAGAACACCCGCUUCGAGAGCCCGAGGUCGUACUCGACGCAGCUGGAGAACUCGGCGGCCAUAUCGCCUGCGGAGGUUUUCCGGCGAGGGUGAUGUCCUCGCAGCUAGAGGUGGUGAUGGUUUUCAAGGAGAUGCGGCGUGCAGGAGGUCGAGCAUGUCACCGUCCACAAGGUCACCAUCACAGCUCGUCUUCUCCAGCUGAUCCGCCAACUCUGCCUCAAGAACAUCCACGUCAGAGGACGACGAUGAUGGCAGAGCAUCAGUAUCGUCUUCAUCCCCAUGUCGGAGGACGACGAUGACGGCAGAGCAUCAGCAUCGUCUUCAUCCUCCUCCUCCUGGCUUCCGGAACUUUGAAACGAGACGAACUCGAAACCGUCAUCAUCGCAGGAGUCGCAGUCACGUGAGAAGUGCAUGCUCAUGGCUUGGUCGGAUGUCAAAGAUCGGUUUGUGGCCUUUUCUUCUGCGGAUCGUUGGUGUGGCUGUUGCCCAAGUCCCUCAAGGCAGGUGAGGUCGUCUUCAAUGGAGUAGCAGAGGAGGGAGUUGUGGUCUCUGCCCGCCGGUGUUGUUGUUGCUGGUUUUGAUGAUCUGGGCGCUGGUGAUCUUGCACUGACAUCAACAUAUUUCCAACACAAAACAAGCUUCCUUCAUAGUCCACCCCAUUCACUCUGAAUCUUGAGCACGGGAGACGCAAGAAUAUGCAGAGACUAUGAAUUGAUCAUGCCCUUUGGUCUCUUUGCUGGGUGCGCUUGGCGCUUUUGCUGUCGAGGGCCUCACUGUGGUGGCAUGGCAGGACGCUGGCAAGCAAUCCGUGUGGCUCUGUACAAAACUGGGUUGGUUUUGGGUGAGCAAUUUGGGGCUUGGUUUCGAACUGGGUGUCUUGAUCAAUUUCUGGGAUCAAGAAAUUAGAGAUUCUGAAAAUACUGAUCAGAGCUGGUGAUGUGAUUUUGAUAUUUGUUGCUUGCUGCUGUUGGUUUAUCUAAAAGAGUUUCAUCAGAGAACUCAGCCGGUUAAAGACUCGUGCUGAUAACGUGUUAUAAACUAAAGAGGAAUUUGAGGAGAGAAUUGAGAGAAAGAGAGAUGAAUCUUUUCUCUCUUCACUGAAUGUUCUAUCUGUUCUGAAUGUGUAUAUUUACAAGGAUGAAGAAGCCUAUUUGAAGGCAUUUGGUUGGGCUCCAUCAUACCGCUAUGAUACAAGAGGAAGCUUCCUAGGGGGGAAGCUUCGCAACUGAUUUACAACAAUUCUGAAUAUAUGAACCCUUUCUUUGGACGACAACGACCGUGAAAUUGAUAUUUAGUUAGUUUAGAUAUUUAUGACAAAGUGAUAUUCAUGAGAUAAAUACAUCAAGGGCAAUAAAUUCAUCAUUCCCUUACAUUUGGUUAGUUUAGAUAUUAAUGAUCCAUUUGGAAAUUAGGAGCAAUAUUUUCAAGAGGUAUAGAGAUUUUUAUUAGAUUAAAUAUGAACAAGAUUUUACAAGCACUGAUUGUCCUUUUUCAACACGCUAGACAAACAUAGGAAGUUUUCUACAUUAAAAAAAUAAAGGAAAAAAAAUAUAGAACUGAGUUUUCAAUCAAGUCCAGUGCUUGUCUAAUGGCCCUGCUCCAGUUGCUUCCUUAUCAUUUUGUUUGAUAAUGAAAUGGUCUUUUUUCAACUCAUUCACACUUGCUUUUGUCCAACCACGUUAUGAAUUCACCGAUAAAUUCAUUGCCUAAAUGUAUGAGCGAUAAAUCAACUUGUUUGAGCCCAAUUUUCUUCAGCGCAAAAUUCAUAAUAUGGAUCUUUAUAUUGGUCACAUGAUUAUUUCAUUAAAUUUAAGUGAAGUUACUAUUAAGAUGAAUCAUGUGAGUAAUAUGAAGAUCCACAUCUAUGAUCUAUAUAUAGUAUCAUCACCGUAAAACAACUCUUUAUUUACAUAUCCGGAAUUAAAUAUCCUAUUUGUGCCUAAUUUUUACAUAUCCAGAAUUGAAGUCGUACUGGGCCAAUGUUAUAGCCUGAGGAAUAAUAUUACAAGGUAAACCCAAACCCAGUGUGUAAUUGCAACACCUAAACUAUUUAACAUGUCAGAAUGAUCUUUCUUUACUCAGAAUUAUAAUCCUUGACUGUUUCUAAUUUAAUGAUAGUGUACCAUUGCCAAAUAAUAUAUAAAGGCACAAGCUUUUCCAACCGGUCUUAUAAAUUUAUUCCGCCACUCUGAGGCUCUCUAGUCUGCUUUAUUGCCAUUGAAAGUACAUUUCAUUUUAAACUCUACAAUAUUAUAUGCAUUUAGUGAGAGAAAUUGGAGUAUUAUUAGUACAUUAUUAGAUUGUUUGUCUCGUGUCGUGUCAUAAGUUUUGCAUUGCUUUAACCUCUCAAAUCAUGACAUAUAUAGAUGCAAGCUGUCGAGCAAAAUAAGGACCUAGCAUAAAACAUGACCUAUUUUAUGGUUUAAAGCACAACGGUUGUAAUCGAAGUAGAACUAAGAUAAAUACAUCAAUGGUUAUAAAUUCUCUUAUCUUACAUUUGGAUAUAUGAAAAUAACUCGGGAUUUAGUUUAAAGUCGGGAAUUGAAAAGAAGAAAUAAUUCGGGAUUUAGCUCAAAGUCUUCAUCCAAAAGGAAGUUUAUGAAUUUGCUCAUUUCAACCUUGAUUAUGAGCAAAAACCAAGACAUAAUAUAUAUGAAGAUGGAUGAGUGUGGAAGAUGGAUGAAACUUAUGUGAGAGAAACCAAUUAUGGGUUUGAGUAUUUUGAGUAUGAGAUGUUAUGAUGAGAAAAUAUCAUUUUUCUUUUUCUUUUCGGUCAAUGGAAAAGACUCUGAAACAAAGUCAUUCCCCAAGACUUUUUAUCCUACCGACCCCGAAGUUAAAGAAAUUACUGUAUAUGAUUAUUUUGCAUUCUGCAUCACUGCCAUCACUACUCUAAUGGCCCUACAUUAAAAAAAAGGACCACAAAAAAAGUAGAAAACUGAUGACUUAGUUUUCAAUCAAGUGGCCCUACUCCAGUUGCUUCUUUCCGACUCUUUUGGAUAAUGAAAUGGUAUUUUUUUUCAACUCAUUCGCACUUGCUUUUGUCCAACUACCACGUUCUGAAUUCGCCAAUAAAUUUAUUACCGAAUUGUAUGGGCAAUAUAUGAACAUGUUUGAGCCUAGUUUUGUUUACCACGAAAUUUUAUAAUAAGAAUGUCAUAUAUGGAACUUUGACGUGAACUUUUAUAUCAGUCACAUGAUCAUUUUAAUUGAACUUAAAUAAAGUUACUAUUCAGAUGAAUUAUAUGAUAAAUAUAAAAGUCCACAUCAAUGAUCUAUAUGUGACACCCUCAUCAUAUCCAAAAUUAAAUAUCCUUUUUAGGCCUGAUUUUUACAUAUCCAAAAUUAAAGUCGUAGUGGGCCAACAUUAUAGCCUUAGGAAUAAUAUUACAAGGCAAACCAAGUGUGUAAUUGCAUCACCUACACUAUUUAACAUGUCAGAAUGAUCUUUCUUUACUCAGUAGUGUUUGCCAAAUAAUAAAUAAAUUUAUUCUGCCGCUCUGAGGCUCUAGUGUGCUUUAUUACCAUUGAAAGUAUAUUUCAUCUUAAACUCUAUAAUAUUAUAUGUUCAGUGAGAGAAAUGGGACUAUUAUUAGUACAUCACUAGAUUGUUUGUCUCGUGUCAAAAGUUUUGCAUUGCAGAAUGUACAAUAUGGAGAUUCCUUUUAAGGGAAGAUACGAGAUUAGAGGAUCAGGUAGAUGAACACAGUUCAUGAUUGUUGUAAGUGUUUAUACCCAGUUUUGGUAAAUGGAUCAAAAAUUGUCUAAAUGGCUAAAAGAAUAUUUUAAAAAUAAAGCCAGGACCAUUAGCAUUUGUCUUUUCUAUAAAGGUCAUCCUCUUCCUAACGGGCCUUUUUGAAUAAAUUAAUAAGAAUGCCCAAAUUGUAAAAAUCAGAGCCUUGUUUCGCACUACAGGUUAAAAAAUCGGUAAACGUGUUUUCUACGCCCACGUGAGAGGCUGAAUGGGAUUAUCACAUUUAAUGACGACUUGACCUCCUCAUCUCCCAGCAAGAAAACAAGCCGUAUUGAAGCCUCCGAAUCCAGAGAAGGAUCAAAUUGCCAACCAAGUCUUCAAGUACAAAGGAGUCAAAUCAAGAGAGGUUUGCAAGAAAAACUGAUGGUUCUUGCCAGAAGCCUUCCAUCAUUCCCUCUAUGAACUGGUUAAGAUCAACAAACAAGCAGUUGACCUUGAACCACAAGCCAAAGGUCUUGUUGCAGUUUCCAUCAUUACAGGCUCUUUCCGCCUCUAUAAAUAAAGAAUGUCUACUUCAGAAGAAGAAUGUCUAUAUUGUAUAAACCCUGUCAACUCAACUGAACAUAGAAUCCUCUAGGUAACAAAAGUUAAGAGUCCAGUCGUAAGACCUAAAAACAAUGGGGUGACAUGCCAACACCAAAAGAACAUAAAAAAUUCAGAGUUAAAAGAAAUAAAAAGAAAACAAACGAUGAAGAUGUCAGCGCAAUCAAAUUGGUAUAUACAAUUCAGUGCCUAACCAACUGAGGAUUGAGGUAAAAAUAAAAAAAAAAUUAUGUAUAUGAAUAUGUAACACCUCACUGCUUGCGGUUCCUUAUUUAAGGCCCUGAAGCAUCAUGCCAUGCGGGAAAAACUAACUCUAGUAGCAAAUUGUACUGAACACACGUAGGAAAAUGUCCAUGUCUAUCAAAAUGAUCUUUCUUUACGGAGCGAUCCUUUGGUUGUUUGAGCUUGGUAGAUCUACAUUGAUUUGAAUUUUGUAUCAACAUUCAACAAUAAUAGAGAUGUAAAUUUUUUUCUCCGAAUAAUAUACAAAGGCACAAGCUUCUCUCCAACCAGUCUUAUAAAUGAAUUCUGAGGCUCUAGUGUGCUUUAUUGCCAUUGAAAGUUGUUAGUUUAAAGGAGAAGGAGUUUAGAGAAUGGUUUGUUUUAGUAUUUAGGACAAUAGAUUGAUGCGGAAUGGAAAUUUUUUUGAAAGAGUAACAAGGAAAUUUUAUUUGAAUGGAGGAGGAAAGUUACAAAGCUGCAAGGUAACAAGCGUGUAUAUAUAUAUAUAUAUAUAUAUAGGAGAGUCACCACCCUUCUGAAAGUGAAACAAUUUCUUUGGCGAGCGGUCUCUAAUAGUCUCCCUUCCUUCUUAAAUCUCUAUAAGCGUAAGUUGUCCUCUUCGUAUUUAUGUCCUAUUUGUUUGGAGAGUCCUGAAUCAAUUGAAUAUAUGCUAGUCCUUUGUCCUUGGAUAGCGUCUGUUUGGUUUGGAAGUGCAAUUGGCUAUCGUGUGGAUUUGCAAAGUUUUACUUCUUUGGAUAGAUGGUUGGGCAGUCUCUUGACAUGGGAGAGUAUGUUCUCACCCAAUUCUAUGUGGAAGGAUCGAUGGGCAGUCUCUUUUGUCGGUUGUUGCUUUCACUUGUUGGCAUAUUUGGAAGGAUCGAUGUAAAUUUGUUUACAAUGAUAUCCCAAUUGUGCCUGCAGCUACUAGAUCUCGUGCUUGUUUGGCGGUGUCAGAAUUUUGGAAUGUUACAAAGAAGCUAGUUCUUGGGUCAGUGGGUAUGCCUAUUCAAAUUUCUUCUCCUCAUAUCCUUCUUAUUGGCUACCCCCCAUUUCUUACUGAUGGGUCUUGGAAGUCUGCUUCUGCUAUGGCUGGAGUUGGAGUUAUUAUUCGGAAGAUUGCUGGUUCUUGUAUUGGGGGUCUUGUUGCUCAGGUGCGUGCCCAAUCUCCACUUAUGGUUGAAGUUUUGGCCCUGAAACAUGGUCUUUUGAGAGCUAAAGAGUUGAAUUUGGUUAAUGUUGUGGUGGAAUCUAAUUCUCAAGUGGCUAUUAAUUCUGUUCAGAGGGAUGUUUCUUCCUUUAAUUGGGAGUUGCAUCCUGUCAUUAAGGAUAUUAGGUUUAUUAAAGCCUAUUUCACAAAUCUGAAUUGGGCAUGGGUGCUCCGUGAAGCGAACCAGUCUGCGGAUGCCGUUGCCUCACUUGCCAAGAAGGGGAUGUGCUUGGAGUUGUGGCUUGUGUGACCUCCAUUCUCUCUGGUUCAUAUUUUAUCUCGAGAUAGUCUUCCUUGCCCUCCGCUUGAUGCUUAAUCUUUUGUUGUGUGGUUUUUCGUUUGUUUAGUUCUUUUGGCUUGUUUUAGUUCUUUGGUUUGGUAUGUCUGUUCUGUUUGUUUGGUUGGGUUUGGCUCCCUUUUGGGCCUUUGCCGGUUAACUUUUAUGACAUCUUUGUUGACCCAAAAAAAAUAAAAAAAGAGAGGGAAGAAUCACGGACUUUGUAUACAGUUAUGUCGGUUAGUUUAUUAUUUUACAGCUAUGUCGGUUAGUUUAUUAUAUUACAAUACUUUGAUUAUUUUAUACUAAAGCAUGCUUUUGAUAUCAAGAUAUUUUGGAGUCAACCGACUUUGUUAAGUUGGUUUGUUCAUUCUCAAUUAUUCUAGACUAUUCUAUAUUAUUCAAGAUUUUUCUAUGUUCUUCAAGGUAUAAGUGGGGAUUACUUUUUUAACAGAAGUCUACAUUUCGUUUUCAAUUGCUGUCUACAAUGAUAUACCUUUUGUUAAAGGAAAGAAUCAAGUCAUAUUUGAUAUGCCUGUUGUAAAAGUUUGAAGGUGGAGCCCACAGAGGAAGUUUCCUUGCAUCUUCCAGGAACUUUCCUUCCCUGUAUUUAUCAAUUCAGGAAGUUUCCUUGCAUCUUCCAGGAACUUUCCUUCCCUGUAUUUUACCAAAACCUUAGCCUAUAAAUAGGCAUAUCACUUGCAAUGGAAAGAGCAACCAACGGAGAAAAGAAAGAAAAGGGAGAAGAGAAAAGAAGAGAGAAGAAGAAGAGAAAAUAAGAGGGUAAGUAAGCAGAGAGAAAAUUCAGUGAGUCACACAUAUUGUAAACACUAUUGUAGUCAUAUUAUUAUAUAGUGAAAGGUUACUGUUGCUGCUCUCCGAGGACGUAGGCGUAGCCGAACCUCGUUAAAUACUGUGUCUCAUCUACUUUACGUGCAGCUCAGAAUUCGCACAUAUCCCAGGUUAUUUCAUAACACGUUAUCAGCACGAUAGUCUCUCCUUUUAUUUCUGAAAUUUUUCCAACUCAACACUAUAUAAUAUACUAUAUCUAUCUGCUUCUCUAUUACUAACCAUUAACAAAAAUGGACCCUUGGUAAUACUAAACAUAUUAUCAGUGGGAGACCGUUACUAAUACUAACUUUUUCUUAUUUUAUUCGGUGGUGGUUUUAACCCCACAUUUAUUUACUGUAUGGUGUAGGUUUAUUACCCAUACAUGCACCUUUACUUUAUCGCAAAUUUAUUUUACCUCAUAUUUAUUUUAUUUACUGUAUGGUGUAGGUUUAUUACCCAUACAACAGUAUUUACUUUUAUUUAAAUGUAUGGAGCAGAAUUAAUGCCCAUACAAGCACUUUUACUUUAUGAAUUUACUUAACCGCACAUUUACAUUUAUUUAAAGUAUGGUGCGGGAUUAACGUCCAUACAGCAAGCAAUUUAAUUUAUGAAUUUAAUUUACCGCACAUUUACAUUUAUUUAAAAGGGUGGUGCGGGUUUAUCGUCCACGCCUUUACUUUUAUUUAAAUGUAUGGAGCAGAAUUAAUGCCCAUACAAGCACUUUUACUUUAUGAAUUUACUUAACCGCACAUUUACAUUUAUUUAAAGUGUGGUGCGGGUUUAUCGUCCAUACCAGCAAAUUCAUAACACUUUACUUUUAUCAUCAAUUAAUAUACCUGAAUAAUGAGGACCUGAAAUUCCUAUUAAUAAGUGGCUUAAUAUCCCAGAUCUCGAGCCUAAAGUUUUGGAUGGCAAAUUUGGCAAAACUAGAGUUUGCUGCCUUGGACCUUUCCGGGGACAACUAUUUAUCAUGGGUCCUGGAUGCCAAAAUUCAUCUACGAGCCAAUGGCCUCGGACAAACAAUUGUAGAUGAGAAUGAUGCUUCGCCUGAAGAGAAUGCGAAGGCCAUGAUCUUUCUUCGCCGCCACAUCCAUGAAGCGCUGAAGAGCGAAUAUGUGGUGGUUGAUGAACCGUUGGUUCUGUGGAAAGCUCUAGGUGAAAGAUACGAUCACCAGAAGACGAUGACUCUCCCAAGAGCUAGAUACGAAUGGACCCACUUGAGAUUUCAAGAUUUCAAGUCAGUGUCCGAGUAUAACUCUGCUAUGCACAGAAUUACCUCAUUAAUGAGGCUAUGUGGGGAAAAUAUAUCUGAUGAGGAUAUGCUCGAAAAAACUCUGAGCACUUUUCAUGCUUCAAAUGUCCUCCUUCAGCAGCAAUACAGACAUAGCGGUUUCAAGAAGUACUCGGAACUUGUAUCUUGCCUCUUGUUAGGUGAGCAGAAUAAUGAGCUCUUAUUAAAGAAUCACCAAUCUCGCCCAACGGGCUCAGCACCACUUCCUGAAAUAAAUGCUGCAUCUCAGGAAGUGAAUGCCACUUCAUCUCGUGGCAGUAUCCACAAACGUGGGCGAGGGGGCAAGCAUGGCCACUGGUAAGGAAGUAGAAAAAAUCGUGGUGCUCGUUCAGAGGGCUUAGGUCCAAGGAGCGGUCCAUCCACGAAUGGCAAAAAUGCAUCCCGUAAUAAGGGAAAGGCACAUAUGAGCCAUGUGCCUAGAAAUGUUGAAAGCCCUUGUCACAGAUGUGGUGCAAAGGGACAUUGGAUGCGCGCAUGUCGUACGCCCAGGCAUUUGGCGGAUCUCUAUCAAGCUUCACUUAAGAACUGGAAAGUGGAGAUAAAUUACAUUGAUCAUGCUCCGCCAGCCACAGAUGGCUCAUCAGAAAUAUCACGUCAGCUAAACAAGACGCAUCUAGGUGUUUCUGAUUUUGUUACUGAAAGAGGGAAUGAAGGUUAUGUGUCCGAAUUAGAUUAAAUUCCUUAAUAUACUACUUGUAUUAGCUGAAGUGUUGUUUAAAUUUCAAUACAAUAAAAGUGGUAAUGUUUUCUUCUUUAUUAAUCCAGCUUAUUUUACUUAUUUGGUGGCAUGGAUGCAAAUUAUGGAUGCCCUCAAAACGAAGGCUAUGACAGAGAUAUUUGUCUCGCAGACAGCGCAACUACUCAUAUGAUCUUUCAAGAUCGGAAGUAUUUCUCAAAAUUAAUGCUUACAAAAGUAAAGGUAACAACCAUAUCAGGUCCUGCAGAUCUGAUUGAAGGUUCAGGAAUAGCCCAAAUUAUGUUACCGAAUGGAACAAUACUGUCCAUUCCAGAUGCUUUGUAUUCACCUAACUCCAGAAGGAAUCUGUUGAGUUUCAAAGAUAUACGUUUGAAUGGCUACCAUGUUGAAACAAAGAAAGAGGAAAACAUGGAAUAUCUUUGUAUUACCUCCAGUGAUACUCAAAAGCAUAUACUGGAAAAGCUUUGUGAGCUCUCAUCAGGGUUGUAUUACACAACCAUACGGACAAUUGAGGCACAUAGUGUCAUGGACCAAGAGUCCACUGACUCAAAUGCUUUUAAGCUUUGGCAUGACAGGUUGGGUCAUCCUGGAUCCACCAUGAUGCGCAGGAUCAUCACCAACUCUAAAGGACAUCCCUUGUUGACUAAACACAUUAUGUUAUCAAGCGACAUCUUUUGCCAAGCUUGUUCACAAGGGAAGUUGGUGAUCAGACCAUCACAACCAAAGGUUGAUGUUGAGUCUCCAUCAUUUUUGCAGAGAAUUCAAGGGGACAUUUGUGGACCCAUUCAUCCCCCAUGUGGACCAUUUCGAUACUUUAUGGUCUUGGUAGACGCAUCUACCCGAUGGUCACAUGUUUGUCUUUUAUCUACUCGGAAUAUGGCAUUUGCUAGGCUUUUGGCUCAGAUAAUUAAAUUACGAGCCCAAUUCUCAGAUUAUCCCAUUAAGUCAAUCAGACUCGAUAAUGCUGGUGAAUUUACAUCUCAGACUUUUGAUGACUACUGCAUGUCACUAGGCAUUGAUAUUGAACAUCCUGUUCCCCAUGUGCAUACUCAAAAUGGCUUGGCAGAAGCUUUAAUUAAACGCCUUCAAUUGAUAGCACGCACUUUGCUAAUGAAAACAAAGUUGCCAGUUUCUGCUUGGGGAUAUGCCAUUUUACAUGCAGCAUCGCUUGUGCGAUUGAGGCCCGUCACCAACAAUCAAUGUUCUCCAAUACAACUCGUAUUGGGAAAUCAACCAAACAUUUCACAUUUAAGAAUUUUUGGGUGUGCGGUAUAUGUGCCCAUUGCACCACCGCAACGUACUAAGAUGGGCCCUCAAAGCAGAUUGGGAAUUUAUAUUGGUUUUGAUUCACCAUCUAUCAUCAGAUACUUGGCACCCCUGACGGGUGAUAUUUUUACCGCACGAUUUGCGGAUUGUGAUUUUGAUGAGACAAUCUUCCCACCAUUAGGGGGAGAAAAAUCUGUGUCUAAAGAACAAGGCAAACUCAUUCCUGAAAAACGACAUGAAUUAUCCUGGAAUGUAUCCACAUUGUCUCAUCUCGAUCCUCAUACUGCUCAAUGCGAAAAUGAAGUGAGAAGGAUCGUUCACCUCCAAAGUAUUGCCAAUCAGAUGCCAGAUGCAUUUAAUGAUGCAGCAAAGGUGACGAAAUCUCAUAUCCCAGCUGCAAAUGCACCCGCACGGAUUGAUGUCCAUAAUGGACAAAGCAAUGUCCCAGCAAAUGGUUCAUCUGCUGCACGCCUAAAACGUGGCAGACCACUAGGCUCAAAGGAUUCAAUUCCUCGAAAGAGGAAGUUGAUGGACAAAAUGAAUCCAAAUGAAAUAAAUAGAGAGCCCACAAUUCAUAAUUCAAAUGCCCCCAAAGAGGGACAUGUACUUCUUGACAAGGAAAACGUCAUUGGUGAGACAAGUGCCCCUGGAGUGGCAACCGUACCUGAAAGUCAAGAAAUCUCCAUAAAUUAUACGUCCACUGAUGAAUUGUGGAGUAGAAAUGAGAUGAUCAUCGAUGAUAUAUUUGCAUUCUCAGUGGCUGCUAAGAUCAUAAAAGAUGAUGAUAUUGAGCCGUGCUCUAUUAAUGAAUGUACACAGAGGCAAGAUUGGCCCAAGUGGAAAGAUGCAAUCCAGGCAGAAUUAAAUUCUUUGGAAAAAAGGAGUGUUUUUGGACAUAUUAGUCCAACUCCACCCAAUGUGAACCCUGUAGGUUACAAGUGGGUAUUUACAAGAAAGCGCAAUGAGAAAAAUGAGAUCUCAAGGUAUAAAGCGCGACUCGUUGCGCAAGGUUUUUCACAAAGGCCUGGAAUUGAUUAUGUGGAAACAUACUCUCCAGUAAUGGACACAAUUACAUUCCGUUACCUAAUAAGUUUGGCGGUUUCAGAAAAACUUGAAAUGAGACUCCUGGAUGUCAUUACCGCAUAUUUGUAUGGAGAAUUGGAUACAGAUAUAUACAUGAAAGUUCCAGAAGGAUUCAGGUUGCCUGAAGCAGCCAGAAACAAACCACGGGACAUGUUCUCAGUUAAAUUGAGAAAAUCAUUAUAUGGGCUAAAACAAUCUGGACGAAUGUGGUACAAUCGUCUCAGUAAGUAUUUAUUGAAGGAAGGAUACACAAAUGAUCCUAUUUGCCCAUGUGUGUUUAUUAAGAAAUCAGAGUCUGGAUUUGCGAUAGUGGCAGUAUAUGUCGACGACAUGAAUCUAAUUGGAACUUCUGAAGAGCUUCAAAAGACUGUUGAUUAUCUCAAACGUGAAUUUGAGAUGAAGGACCUUGGAAAGACAAAAUAUUGUCUUGGCUUGCAGAUUGAGCACAGUGCUAAUGGAAUUUUGGUGCAUCAAUCAACUUAUACUGAGAAAGUAUUGGAACGGUUUGGCAUGGAUAAAGCCCAUCCACUUAGCACUCCAAUGGUCGUUCGAUCGCUUGACACUAAGAAAGACCCAUAUCGUCCAAAAGAGAAUGAUGAAAUGGUCCUUGGUCCAGAAGUACCAUAUCUUAGUGCAAUAGGUGCUUUAUUGUACCUAGCACAAUGUACCAGACCAGACAUAUCAUUCUCAGUAAAUCUGUUAGCAAGGUACAGUUCUGCUCCAACAAGGCGACACUGGACCGGCAUCAAACAUGUUCUACGAUACCUUCGUGGGACAACAGACAUGGGGUUAUUCUAUUCCAAAACUUGGGGAACAUCAUAAUACGGUGGGAGGAGUCAUUUGGUUGGUUUUGAGUGAAAUCCAAUCUCUAUAGCUAUGCAAUACACCAACCACUACAUUUCAUAACGAACUUCGUACGAUCCUGAAUUGUCCAAUUUCAUGGACCAAUCGAUAUCGGAUUGAGUCCAAAACUUGUGGAACAUCGUAAUAUGGUGGGAGGAGUCAUUUGGUGGGUGUUGAGGGAAAUCCAAUCUCCAGAUCUAUGCAAUACACCAAGCAUUCCAUUUCAGAACGAAGUUCAUACGAACCUAAAUUGUUCAAUUUCGUGGACCAAUCGAUAUCAGAUUGAGUUUGAAACUUGGGGAACGUCAUAAUAUGGUGGAAGGAGUCAUUUUGUGGGUUUUGAGUGAAAUCCAAUCUCUACAACUAUGCAAUACACCAACCACUCCAUUUUUGUUGUGUUCCUUCCAUGUUACUAGUUUUGAAAGAACCCUGACUAAAAAUUUCUUUGGCGAGCGGUCUCUAAUAGUCUCCCUUCCUUCUUAAAUCUCUAUAAGCGUAAGUUGUCCUCUUCGUAUUUAUGUCCUAUUUGUUUGGAGAGUCCUGAAUCAAUUGAAUAUAUGCUAGUCCUUUGUCCUUGGAUAGCGUCUGUUUGGUUUGGAAGUGCAAUUGGCUAUCGUGUGGAUUUGCAAAGUUUUACUUCUUUGGAUAGAUGGUUGGGCAGUCUCUUGACAUGGGAGAGUAUGUUCUCACCCAAUUCUAUGUGGAAGGAUCGAUGGGCAGUCUCUUUUGUCGGUUGUUGCUUUCACUUGUUGGCAUAUUUGGAAGGAUCGAUGUAAAUUUGUUUACAAUGAUAUCCCAAUUGUGCCUGCAGCUACUAGAUCUCGUGCUUGUUUGGCGGUGUCAGAAUUUUGGAAUGUUACAAAGAAGCUAGUUCUUGGGUCAGUGGGUAUGCCUAUUCAAAUUUCUUCUCUUCAUAUCCUUCUUAUUGGCUACCCCCCAUUUCUUCUUAUGUUAAGAUUAAUACUGAUGGGUCUUGGAAGUCUGCUUCUGCUAUGGCUGGAGUUGGAGUUAUUAUUCGGAAGAUUGCUGGUUCUUGUAUUGGGGGUCUUGUUGCUCAGGUGCGUGCCCAAUCUCCACUUAUGGUUGAAGUUUUGGCCCUAAAACAUGGUCUUUUGAGAGCUAAAGAGUUGAAUUUGGUUAAUGUUGUGGUGGAAUCUAAUUCUCAAGUGGCUAUUAAUUCUGUUCAGAGGGAUGUUUCUUCCUUUAAUUGGGAGUUGCAUCCUGUCAUUAAGGAUAUUAGGUUUAUUAAAGCCUAUUUCACAAAUCUGAAUUGGGCAUGGGUGCUCCGUGAAGCGAACCAGUCUGCGAAUGCCGUUGUCUCGCUUGCCAAGAAGGGGAUGUGCUUGGAGUUGUGGCUUGUGUGACCUCCAUUCUCUCUGGUUCAUAUUUUAUCUCGAGAUAGUCUUCCUUGCCCUCCGCUUGAUGCUUAAUCUUUUGUUGUGUGGUUUUUCGUUUGUUUAGUUCUUUUGGCUUGUUUUAGUUCUUUGGUUUGGUAUGUCUGUUCUGUUUGUUUGGUUGGGUUUGGCUCCCCUUUGGGCCUUUGCCGGUUAACUUUUAUGGUAUCUUUGUUGACCCAAAAAAAAUAAAAAAAAAGAGGGAAGAAUCACGGACUUUGUAUACAGUUAUGUCGGUUAGUUUAUUAUUUUACAGCUAUGUCGGUUAGUUUAUUAUAUUACAAUACUUUGAUUAGUUUAUACUAAAGCAUGCUUUUGAUAUCAAGAUAUUUUGGAGUCAACCGACUUUGUUAAGUUGGUUUGUUCAUUCUCAAUUAUUCUAGACUAUUCUAUAUUAUUCAAGAUUUUUCUAUGUUCGUAAAAGUGGGGAUUACUUUUUUAACAAAAGUCUACAUUUCGUUUUCAAUAUGCCUUUUGUUUUAAAGGUACCAAGUUCUCGCUGGAGUAAUCGAACAACGAAUUCUACAACCCUUGCUAUACCAACACAAGAUUAUCCUCAGUGCAAUUUGCUUUGCUGUUCGAACUGGCAAUACAUUCUUGGGGUCCUUGAUGUAAGAUCUGAGUUCUCCUUCAAUUUCACCAUGUUAGUUGGUGUGCUUUACUCUUCAAAUCUCAUAAUUCUUUAUAUUGUGGAACAGCUGGGUUGAUUAUGCAAGGUGGGUUGGAAUUCAAAAGAUACGAGAUUAGAGCAUAGGGUAGAUUACAUGAUUGUUGUAAGUAAUUUUAUUUUUUGUGUGGAUAUUGAUUUUGUUUAUGAAAUUAUAGUGCGGUAACCUUCCGAUAAAAAUGCAAGAGAUGGGCAUUUAGAAAAUAAACUAGCAACCAAGAGAUAUCGCCUGUAUGCUUCCAUCCUGGUGGGGUGGACAAUCAGCCCAAGCAUGGUCUUCGCCAAUUAACCCAUUUGUUUUCUUUAUUUCAUUUUUGUUUAAAUAUUGGCAUAUAUAGAUUAUAAUAGUCUAGACAGAUAAUUGAACUCUUAGAAUGUCAUAUUAUCCCCAUUUGAAAUCCAGAUGGCCGUAGAUUCAUUCAUCAUAUAUAAAAUAUCUUAUUGAUUAACUGUUACUGGUGAAUGUCACUCAUAAAAAUGGUUAGGACAUGCAUAAACAUGUCAACUCAGCUCAACAUAUAAUCCUAUAGAGAACAAAAAUUCAGAAUCGGCUAAGAGUCUAAGACCCAACAUAAUUGAGAUGACAUGCAAACACCAAAGAAUAUAAGUAAUUCCUAAUGAGCCAAAAGAAACAAAGAAAACAACAAACAAUGAAGAUGUCAGCACAACCAAAUUGGUCAUCAACAAUUCAGUGCCUAAGCAAGGGUGCAUAUCUUAUUUGAUUGAGGAUGGAAUAAGAAUUCUGUAUAUGAAUAUGUAAUAUCUCAUUGCUGCUGAAAGUAGCAAUGGGUGGUUUCAACUCUUUCUGCAAAGAGGACAAUACCAUUGUAGGCGUCACACUCGAAUCAAGGAGCAAGCAAAACAUCUGGAGAGAAAACCCCGGCAGCAGUUUCUUGAGAAGCUUGAAGGGAUGGGAGUUUGAAGACUAUUCAGGCACAACACAACAUCGGCUUCCGUAAGCUGUAUAUAGCAUCUGAAUAUUGAAAGCGUUCCUGCCAAUUCAGAAGCACAUUCUUUAAACAGAACACGGCAACCUCACUUGUAUUUUUCAGCAUGAUUCAAAAGAUAAUUUGGUAAAUCAUCAAAAUAAAGAUGAAGCUUCGUUGCACAUAUAAUAUCUCAGUGCAAAUAUCAAGAAUUUGUCACAAGUAUCUGGCAGGUUCAGUCGAUAUUUCUAUUUAAAAGAACAAAGAACAACACUUGGUUACUUGAUGUCCUUUAAAAACUGCUAGCUCUACAAGUCCUCUAAAGAUUGUACAGGGGUCAGGGUUCAAAUCUUAAGUUAAGAUUAAGAAACCUAACAAGUUGAAUAAAAGGCAGAGAAUUAUGAAAAACAUAAACAUUGUAUACAACCAAACAAAAGAAAGAAAAAUAUGGGUAAAAGUUUUCUCAGCAGAGAGAUGGCAAAAUAUUACAAGGCAAACCAAAUGGCAAAAUAUUAAACAUCUGAAACUUGCAACAGAAAGGUAGUGAUUUACCAUCUUCAGUUGAUGUUACCACGAUAUGAAAUGACCUUGUUGCUAUCCAGUCCUUUUCACAGCUCUUCACCCUGCAGCUCCGGAAGUAAGAGAGGCAGUCCCUUCUUUCAACCCUCUCACACUGGACCAGACAUCAUGCGAGGACUGGGUCCAGGAUAAAUAUUUUCCACCCAAUUUUAUCGAGGCCUUAAAAAGAGUAAAUCGCAGUGGGAGGUUGGGGAAUCCCCAGUCAGGAUGGGAGACGGUCAUCUUGAAGUGAUGUGAAUUUGUUGAUCUAAUCUGGCUUAAAUGCACUUCCUGUAUUUAUUCUUAUGGAUGAGAAACUAAGUUCUGAAAUACCAAAAUAGCAAUGUGUCAUGGUCAUGCCUUAGUGAGAAAAUGAACAUUAUAGUGAUUGAAGAAGUCAAGAGUGUACAAUAGCACAAAGCAAGAACCAGAACCAGCAAAUAAGUAAAUUACUCAUUUUUUUUUUUUAAUAAAUAAAACCACCAAUUGGUGCUGUUGAUUUUGAUAUUUUAUAUAAAUUAUACUUCCUCUUCCUCUUCUUCAUGUUAUAUAUUAAUUCCAGCCUCAACACUUCUAUCUUCCCAAAUUCCUGUCCAAAUGAACCCUAUAAUUAACAGUACGAUUAUUUAACUCUCAUAUAUAUAUAUAUAUAUUAAUUUGAGCUAUAACAAUGUUGUUUCUUUUUCUUUUUUCUUUUUUGUACAAUUAUAUUUUUUUAAUCUGAGCUAUAACAAUCUGAGUACAGGGAUCCCCCGACAUUAAAAAAAUUAUAAACUACUCGCAAUAAUAUGCCAGAAAAGGAGUCUCACCAUAAAGAGUAAAGGGAAAGUGUUGAUAGUGUUUGAAAUUUGAAGUACCUGGGGAGAGUGAGAGUCGGAGUUGACCAUGUCCAUGUGUAGGUAUGGGUUCUCAUCAUCUUCAAACCUUCUUCUAAUCUAAAUUAUAUGUAUGCGGGGGAUGUGGGAUAAAUUGGGCAGGUAUCGUCCUUCAAUUUCAAACCCAAUGAUAUAAUUAGGGCAUUUAUCUUUUAGCAGAGGACACCUAAUGAUAUGAAGUUCCCUCAGUGAAAUAGGCCCCUCCUCUGGAAUGGAUGCCAGCUUUUGACAAUUCUGCAGUCGAAGAUAUUGAAGAGAGGUGAGGAAUUGAAAGGCCUUGCUGCUCAGUUUCUUCAGAUUUGGGAAGCCCCCAAUUGAGAGAUGAGUGAGAGAUUCGGGGAGCAGCAUCUCCAUAUCCAUAUCCGUAUCACCUUCGGGUGGAAACGACACAACAUAUGGGUCUUCGCCAUCGACCCCCAAGUAUGUAAGAGAGGUGAGCCUGUGCAACAACUCCCACAGUGGCUUACAAUUCUUGAUUCCGCUGAUUUCAAGUGAUGUUAGGUUGGGGGGAAAGGAAGUGAAAUCUAAACCUUCACCGUAAUCAAUAGAAAAUUGCUGAAGACAAUUGAGAUUGAGCAUGUCCGGUAACAUGUCCAAUUUGUUGCAAUUUUCGAUGUUGAUUUGUCUCAGGCUGGAGGCGGCUGUUGUUGUUGGCGAAAGCAAACCCUCACCACUCAGGCUCGAGAUGGAAACCAGAUUCCCACAAUCAUGAAUAUAUAAAGUUCGAAGAUUUGUGAGGUGGCAUAGGCCCUCCGGUAAGGAUUUCAGAUUUUGGCAAAAACUGAUGCUAAUAUAUUCAAGACAAUAAUUAGUGUUGUCGUGGGAGAACCCAUCGGAUGUUAUUAACUGCAGCUCUCCACAAUCGGAU
rnacentral:lncRNA from 1 species